GUCAGCCCUCCGGGCGUGAGUUUCCUUCUAUCUAGAUUAGGUGUGUGCACCGCAGUCCCCAGCGCUUUCAUACCCGGUGUCCGGGAACCUCUACAGACCUUAAAAUACGCUCACCGCUCUCUCCACCGAUUGACUUCUAAAGACACAUGUUAUCUAAGGUAGAAGCUGGGAAAAGAAGGAAGAGGAAUGAAAAGGAGUCAGGAAUGGCUCUUACUCAGAGUCCUUUGACAUUCAGGGACGUGGCCAUAGAAUUCUCUCAAAAGGAGUGGAGAUACUUGGACCCUUCUCAGAAGGCUUUGUACAGGGACAUGAUGUUGGAGAACUGAGAACUACAGGAACCUCAUCUUCCUCGGUGAGGAUAACUUCCCUGCAGACGUCAGGAAUCUGCCCUUGAGUAUCUUUGCAUUUUCCCUUGAGUGCCUCUUCGGAGCCCCUGCAUUGCUUGACUGAGAUUUAACCUUUGGUGAUUCGGAAAUGAAAAGCUUCCUCAUGCUGGAUCUGGACUUUGUCUCCACUUUUCAGAAGUUCUCCCUGCUUCAUUAUACAUCACUGAGUGGUUCUGGAAUUUAAGUAUUUGUAAAAUCUUAUAGUAGACUUUUAAAAUAUGCAUUUCCUUGUUUCCUACCGCUGUGGUUUUGAUUCAGUGGUUCUUGGAAGAGAACUAGAUAUUUACAUAUUACAUUGUUCCCUAAACAUUCAGAAGGAGGUGAUCAGUGAUGAAUUUAUGAGAUAUUUUUUCUAGAUCCAUUGGUAAAAUCCUCAUUCCUUAGGUCAGCAUAGAGUUGGGAUUCCAGAAGAGGCAAAACACAUAAUAUUUCUUUCUUUUUUUUUUUUUUUUGUCGUUUUUUCAUGACCGGCACUCAGCCAGUGAGUGCACUGGUCAUUCCUAUAUAGGAUCCGAACCCGCGGCGGGAGCGUCGCCGCGCUCCCAGCGCAGCACGCUACCGAGUGCGCCACGGGCUCGGCCCAUAUUUCUUUCUUUUUAUGAGCAGGAAUCUGUCUUCCUGACCUCUGUGUUAUCUCCAUGUUGGAGCAAGGGAAAGAGCCCUGGACUGUGCAGAACCGAGUGAAAAUAGCAAGAAACCCAAAUGGUUGGGAAAACAGUGACGUUGUGAUCACAGGAAAGAGCUCAGAUAGGCAGAGAGGAAGCCACACCAUGAAAUAAUAUUUAGGAAACUCUCCACAAGAGGGAGAUUUCUCUGGGAAAACAUGUUUAUAUCCUGUGAGUUCUCAAAGGGAAUCUUUUUUUAUUGCCCCAUUUAUCACUCUGUUCUUCAGAUGUGUAGUAGAUUAUCAUUUUGCCCUCCAGUGGUGUUGCAGCUCAGAGA